GAUGAACGCUGGCGGCGUGCCUAAUACAUGCAAGUCGAGCGAACAGACGAGGAGCUUGCUCCUCUGACGUUAGCGGCGGACGGGUGAGUAACACGUGGAUAACCUACCUAUAAGACUGGGAUAACUUCGGGAAACCGGAGCUAAUACCGGAUAAUAUAUUGAACCGCAUGGUUCAAUAGUGAAAGACGGUUUUGCUGUCACUUAUAGAUGGAUCCGCGCCGCAUUAGCUAGUUGGUAAGGUAACGGCUUACCAAGGCGACGAUGCGUAGCCGACCUGAGAGGGUGAUCGGCCACACUGGAACUGAGACACGGUCCAGCAGACUACGGGAGGAAGCAGUAGGGAAUCUUCCGCAAUGGGCGAAAGCCUGACGGAGCAACGCCGCGUGAGUGAUGAAGGUCUUCGGAUCGUAAAACUCUGUUAUUAGGGAAGAACAAAUGUGUAAGUAACUAUGCACGUCUUGACGGUACCUAAUCAGAAAGCCACGGCUAACUACGUG
rnacentral:rRNA from 1 species